rnacentral:pre_miRNA from 9 species
UCUCGAUAGCGUAAAAGUUAAUUCAAAUUUGUAUACGGUUGGAACGUUUGCCUACGUUUGCCGCUAGGGGCGCUGUUCUAACUGCAUAGUAGUUUGACUUAACUUUGUCGCUAUCGA